rfam:Apis mellifera strain DH4 linkage group 1, whole genome shotgun sequence.
ACAACGGCCCUUUUUAGGGCCACCAUAUUUUUUGAACGUAUGAUAA